CACUAGAAAGCUAAACAGGGCCUAGCGUUAGCCUUUUAAGCUAAAAGUUGGUGACUCCCAACCACCUCCAGUGA
rnacentral:tRNA from 1 species